CUUACGCGGCCUGCGGAACCCUAAGAGGGGGGCCUGCACGCCGAGGUUAUUUCCCAGCCCUUCGAUGCAUGGUCCCCCCUUAGUGGACUGCAGGCCCAUGUAGC
rnacentral:pre_miRNA from 14 species